AGUGAACGCUGGCGGUAGGCCUAACACAUGCAAGUCGAACGGCAGCACAGUAAGAGCUUGCUCUUACGGGUGGCGAGUGGCGGACGGGUGAGGAAUACAUCGGAAUCUACUUUUUCGUGGGGGAUAACGUAGGGAAACUUACGCUAAUACCGCAUACGACCUACGGGUGAAAGCAGGGGAUCUUCUGACCUUGCGCGAUUGAAUGAGCCGAUGUCGGAUUAGCUAGUUGGCGGGGUAAAGGCCCACCAAGGCGACGAUCCGUAGCUGGUCUGAGAGGAUGAUCAGCCACACUGGAACUGAGACACGGUCCAGACUCCUACGGGAGGCAGCAGUGGGGAAUAUUGGACAAUGGGCGCAAGCAUGAUCCAGCCAUACCGCGUGGGUGAAGAAGGCCUUCGGGUUGUAAAGCCCUUUUGUUGGGAAAGAAAAGCAGCAGGUUAAUACCCCGCUGUUCUGACGGUACCCAAAGAAUAAGCACCGGCUAACUUCGUG
rnacentral:rRNA from 1 species